UGUGGUAAUAAAAAGGCAGUUAGAGAGGAAUAUAACAGAUAAGGUGAAAGACGACCCAAAGAGAUUCUUUCAAUAUUUUAGAAGUAAAAGAACAGUCAAGAAGAAGGUGAAGUGCAUCAGAAAUAGUAAAGGAUAAGGAUGAUAUUCAGGAAUGUGGACACUAUAGAGGGAUAAAGCUGAUGUCACACACAAUGAAAAUUUGGUAAAGGAUUAGGGAAGAAACCACCAUAGCAGAAGAGCAACUGGGUUUUAUGCCAGUGAGAGGAACAACUGAUGCAAUCUUUGCUUUAUUACAGCUAACAGAGAAACAAUGAGAAAAGCAGAAGGGUUUGCAUAUGGUGUUUAUUGAUUUGGAGAAGGCUUAAGAUAGGGGUGCACAUGAAGAGGUCUGGUGGUGCCUGACAGAGAGAAAGGAGGACCACAGAAGUAUGUGAGGACUCGGGGUAUAAGCAGUGUUGGGAUAACAAACAAGAUCCCAGUUAGAGGAGGUCUGCACCAGGGAUCUUCUUGAAGUCCUUAUCUCUUUGAUCUGGUUAUGGAUAUGUUGAGUCAUGGGAUAAAAUACAUUAUGUUGUGUAAGAGUAGAAAAGAGGAAGUGGAGAGGAAGUCGGCAAAAUGGAGAAGGGCUUUGGAAGAUAGAGGACUGAAAAUAAAUAGUAAAAAUAAAAUAGGAACAUAUGAGGUUUAAUGAUGAUCCAUAUUCAGAUGUUAGCCUUCAGGUAGAGCUAUUGGAAAGUGUCGAUACAUUUAAAUAUUUAGGAUAAGUGGUAGCCCAAAAUGGAAAAUUAGAUGAAGAGAUAACCUAUAGAGUGCGGUGUGAAUGGAACAAUUGGAAGAAGGUAUCAGGAGUGUUGUGUGAUCUAAGAAUUAUGGUGAAAGAUACAAGGUAAGGUUUUGAAGACAGUGACAAGACCAGCAACGA